rnacentral:rRNA from 1 species
GACAGAGGGUGCAAACGUUGUUCGGAAUUACUGGGCGUAAAGCGCGUGUAGGCUGCUCGGAAAGUCGGAUGUGAAAGCCCUGGGCUCAACCUAGGAAUUGCGCCCUAAACUACUGUGCUUGAGGAACCUAGAGGUGAGCGGAACUGAUGGUGGAGCGGUGAAAUGCGUUGAUAUCAUCAGGAACACCGGAGGCGAAGGCGGCUACACUGGGGGUUAUCUGACGCUGAGGAACGAAAGCCAGGGGAGCGAACGGG